ACGAGGAAGGGCGUAGCAAGCGACGAAAUGCUUCGGGGAGUUGAAAAUAAGCAUAGAUCCGUAGAUUCCCGAAUAGGUCAACCUUUCGAACUGCUGCUGAAUCACUCCCACUCCAAACUCUGGAUGUGU
rnacentral:ncRNA from 1 species